rnacentral:sRNA from 1 species
AUUAACAUAUGGAGACUCAUCAAGUCGAUUCGACUUUAAUACACAUAAUCAUUAUCA